UGGCUCAGGAUGAACGCUGGCGGCGUGCUUAACACAUGCAAGUCGAACGAUGAACCCACUUGUGGGUGGAUUAGUGGCGAACGGGUGAGUAACACGUGAGUAACCUGCCCUUGACUUUGGGAUAAGCCUGGGAAACCGGGUUAAUACUGGAUACGACCUUUUUGCGCAUGCCAUGUUGGUGGAAAGCUUUUGUGGUUUUGGAUGGACUCGCGGCCUAUCAGCUUGUUGGUGGGGUAAUGGCCUACCAAGGCGACGACGGGUAGCCGGCCUGAGAGGGUGACCGGCCCCACUGGGAAUGAGACCCGGCCCAGACUCCUACGGGAGGCAGCAGUGGGGAAUAUUGCACAAUGGGCGCAAGCCUGAUGCAGCGACGCCGCGUGAGGGAUGAAGGCCUUCGGGUUGUAAACCUUUUCAGUAGGGAAGAAGCUGAUCCUUUUUGGGUUGGUGACGGUACCUGCAG
rnacentral:rRNA from 1 species